rnacentral:lncRNA from 13 species
AUGAGGGGGAAGAGAGGAGAGGCAGGAGGGAGAGGGAGGGGAGCGGGGAGGCUCCCUGUGAAGGAGAUGAGGCCCUACCUGGCCCUGCGCCACACACCCCCGCUAGUCACACAUGCCACCUCAUUCACUCAUUCACACACCCAUACAUAUUCACACAAACCAUCUCAUGCCCACUGCCGUAGUCACACACACACACACAUGCCAUCUCACACAGGUAUUCACACACAACCACACACGCGAGCACACUCACGAGCCGAGCCUCUCUCAGAUGUCAUAGAUGCCUUCUGUUUCUUCAGCAACAGCAUGUCUGCAGAGGCAGAACUCAGCGUCAGGCAGCGCUCAAACCUCCCUGCCCCUAUCCAGGUCACACCCCCAGACACCUCCCACAGAGGCGAGGCCACCACACACACGCCUCCAUAUCCCAGGCCCACAGCUGCGGUCCCACCUCCCUCCAGCCCUGCACCCCGACACGACCAGCACCUGGACGCCGCCUCUCUGCCUCCACACAUCCGGCAGAUUUCCAGAAGGCUCCAUGCUCACCCACGCCGUUCCCUCCCCCAUCCACAGCGCCCACGCCCCCACCCCCGCCUAGACCCGCCAUCCAUUGCAUAGCGCCCACAGGCACCCGCUGCCCAAGCAACCAAGCCGCCGGGGAUGCACCUGCGACCUCCGCGCAGCCACCUGCCAAGACCACGGCCACCCACGCCGCUGCAGACGCAGCCCGGACCUCGGCGCCGCAGAGCAGGGGGACCUGGCAACCUGGGCCGCCAGCGUCCCGAGCUGCGUGGACGGAGCGUGUGCGGGCGGGGGACGCACCGGGCGUGACAGGUGUGCAGCGGGCGCGCAGGGCUGCGGCGGUCGUGGACCGGACCCGGUGCGCCCCUGCCUCGCGCGUCCCCGCACCCCGGAGCAGGUGCGGACCUGGAGCGGGUGCCGCAGCGUCGCUCCGCGCAGUGGCCGCUGCGCCGAGCCCCCCGCCCGCGCCCCGCCGGCUCCGCCUCCUCCGCGCACGCCCCCGCGGGCGGCCGGAGCAGGCAGUGGCCCAACGCAGCCGCGGCGCUGCAGGGCACCUUGUAAGGUGAUCGCGGGGCUCCGGCUAGCCGCCGGCCUCCGCCGCCCGGC